rnacentral:tRNA from 1 species
AGUUCUAUACUUUAAAAUAAAAGACUUGAUUUGCAUUCAAUAAUUGAAUACCCAUUCUAGAACUA